rnacentral:tRNA from 1 species
GAAGGCAUGGCUUACUGGGUAGAGUCCCUGCCUAGCAAGCAUGAAAACCUGAGUUCAAAUCCCAGGUCUGUUCA